UACGAAGGGGGCUAGCGUUGCUCGGGAUCACUGGGCGUAAAGCGCACGUAGGCGGCUUUUUAAGUCAGGGGUGAAAUCCUGGAGCUCAACUCCAGAACUGCCUUUGAUACUGAGAAGCUUGAGUCCGGGAGAGGUGAGUGGAACUGCGAGUGUAGAGGUGAAAUUCGUAGAUAUUCGCAAGAACACCAGUGGCGAAGGCGGCUCACUGGCCCGGUACUGACGCUGAGGUGCGAAAGCGUGGGGAGCAAACAGG
rnacentral:rRNA from 1 species